CACGGCCAUACCACCCUGAAUGCACCGGAUCUCCUCUGAUCUCGGAAGCUAAGCAGGGUUGGGCCUGGUUAGUGCUUGGAUGGGAGGACAAAUCUGGACUUUGCCUUGC
rnacentral:rRNA from 1 species